rnacentral:lncRNA from 1 species
AUUGAAACCGGAUGGGAGUGUAGACAAGUAUAAAGCAAGACUUGUCGCAAAAGGUUAUAAACAAAAAGCUAAAUUACAGAAAACUCCCCUGUCAAAAUCCGAUUUUUCACUUUCCCCCACCUACUUGCCCCCUUGUAAAAUAAAAAAUGUUCACAUGGGGUUACGGUGUGAGACUGUGAUGAUAAAAUGACUAUUUUGCCCGUCACCAUUUUGCUCCUCACCAUGUUCACAGGAGAGAAGGCUAAGAACAUUUUUGGCAAAAAAAAUAUAUAAUAAUAUUUUAUAAAUGGAACCCUAACAGAUUACUAAUGGCAGGGGACGAAGUGAAUAUUUUUCAUUUUAUAAGGGAGCAAAGUGUAGGUUUUUAAAUGACAGGGAGGGAAAGUAAAAAAUCGGGUUUUGAAAGGGAAGUUUUAUGUAAUGUAG